AGUUUGAUUAUGGCUCACGAAGAACGCUGGGGGUCUGCUUAACACAUGCAAGUCAAGGAGAAUUUUAUCUUCAGAUAAUUAUUACACUGGCCAAUGGCUGACUAACGCGGAGAUAAGUUGCCUCUUACAUUGGGACAACAUUGGGAAACCAUGGCUACUACCGAAUAAUGCAGCGCCCCCUUCCAGGCCUAGUUGGUAAAGUAGGCUUCUCCUUCCACUUUGCUAUCUAUUUGCUGCCGAUUAGUUACUUGAUAGGGUAAUAGACUAGCAAGAACAACAUCCGGAGCUGGUCUAAGAGGAUGAUCAUCCGCCCUGGAAUUGAGAUACGAUCCACACUCCUACUACAGGUGGCAGCGAGGAAUUUUGGUCGAUGGGCGAAAGCCUGAUGCCCCCCCCCACGCGUGAUUGACGAAGUUUUU
rnacentral:rRNA from 1 species